AGGACGAACGCUGGCGGCGUGCCUCAUACAUGCAAGUGGAGCGACGAACCAGGAUUUAUCCUGGGGCAAAGCCGCGAACGGGUGAGUAACACGUGGGUUACCUGCCCCGAUGAUUGGGACAACCCGAGGAAACUCGGGCUAAUACCAAAUGUGCCCGUGGUUGUGAUGAUCACGAGGAAAGGAAGCUUCGGCCUCCGCAUCGGGAUGGGCCCGCGGCCCAUUAGCUAGUUGGUGGGGUAAAGGCCUACCAAGGCGACGAUGGGUAGCUGGUCUGAGAGGACGAUCAGCCACACUGGGACUGAGACACGGCCCAGACUCCUACGGGAGGCAGCAGUGGGGAAUAUUGGACAAUGGGCGCAAGCCUGAUCCAGCCAUGCCGCGUGGAUGAUGAAGGCCCUAGGGUUGUAAAGUCCUUUCGACGGGGAAGAUAAUGACGGUACCCGUAGAAGAAGCCCCGGCUAACUUCGUGCCAGCAGCCGC
rnacentral:rRNA from 1 species